rnacentral:rRNA from 1 species
UACGUAGGGUGCAAGCGUUAAUCGGAAUUACUGGGCGUAAAGCGUGCGCAGGCGGUGAUGUAAGACAGGUGUGAAAUCCCCGGGCUUAACCUGGGAACUGCAUUUGUGACUGCAUCGCUGGAGUGCGGCAGGGGGGGAUGGAAUUCCGCGUGUAGCAGUGAAAUGCGUAGAUAUGCGGAGGAACACCGAUGGCGAAGGCAAUCCCCUGGGCCUACACUGACGCUCAUGCACGAAAGCGUGGGGAGCAAACAGG